rnacentral:rRNA from 1 species
ACAUGCAAGUCGAGCGGUAACAGAAAGUAGCUUGCUAUUUUGCUGACGAGCGGCGGACGGGUGAGUAAUGCUUGGGAACAUACCUUGAGGUGGGGGACAACAGUUGGAAACGACUGCUAAUACCGCAUAAUGUCUACGGACCAAAGGGGGCUUAGGCUCUCGCCUUUAGAUUGGCCCAAGUGGGAUUAGCUAGUUGGUGAGGUAAUGGCUCACCAAGGCAACGAUCCCUAGCUGGUUUGAGAGGAUGAUCAGCCACACUGGAACUGAGACACGGUCCAGACUCCUACGGGAGGCAGCAGUGGGGAAUAUUGCACAAUGGGCGAAAGCCUGAUGCAGCCAUGCCGCGUGUGUGAAGAAGGCCUUCGGGUUGUAAAGCACUUUCAGUCAGGAGGAAAGGGUGUGAGUUAAUACCUCACAUCUGUGACGUUACUGACAGAAGAAGCACCGGCUAACUCCGUGCCAGCAGCCGCGGUAAUACGGAGGGUGCGAGCGUUAAUCGGAAUUACUGGGCGUAAAGCGUACGCAGGCGGUUUGUUAAGCGAGAUGUGAAAGCCCCGGGCUCAACCUGGGAACUGCAUUUCGAACUGGCAAACUAGAGUGUGAUAGAGGGUGGUAGAAUUUCAGGUGUAGCGGUGAAAUGCGUAGAGAUCUGAAGGAAUACCGAUGGCGAAGGCAGCCACCUGGGUCAACACUGACGCUCAUGUACGAAAGCGUGGGGAGCAAACGGGAUUAGAUACCCCGGUAGUCCACGCCGUAAACGAUGUCUACUAGAAGCUCGGAACCUCGGUUCUGUUUUUCAAAGCUAACGCAUUAAGUAGACCGCCUGGGGAGUACGGCCGCAAGGUUAAAACUCAAAUGAAUUGACGGGGGCCCGCACAAGCGGUGAGCAUGUGGUUUACUCGAUGCAACGCGAAGAACCUUACCUACACUUGACAUACAGAGACUUUCUAGAGAUAGAUUGUGCCUUCGGGAACUCUGAUACAGGUGCUGCAUGCUGUCGUCAGCUCGUGUUGUGAGAUGUGGUAAGUCCCGCACGAGCGCAACCCCUAUCCUUAGUUGCUAGCAGGUAAUGCUGAGAACUUCUAAGAGACUGCCGGGUGAUAAACCGGAGGAAGGUGGGACGACGUCAAAGUCAUCUUGGGCCUUACGUGUAGGGCUAACCACCGCGCUAACAUGGGGCACACAGAAU